rnacentral:tRNA from 1 species
GCCCGGGUGGUGGAAUGGUAUACACGAUCGACUUAAGAUCGAUUGCCGCAAGGCAUGCGAGUUCGACUCUCGCCCCGGGCA